rnacentral:tRNA from 1 species
CCCAGCGCGGGCCGGGGCCGUUUCCUGUCGGGAAACGGCUCUGGCUGCAUGGCCUGGCAGUACCGGUUCAGGCCGCCCACCGGGGC